ACUCUAUUCACUUUUGAUUUAUCUGCACAAUCAACUUGGUGUAUUCUAUUAAAAACAAAUUAUCUCAGGAUAAUAUAUUUUAUUUUAAAAAUGCGUAUCUAGCUUUACUUCUUAUUUAAUUUGUAGUAAGUCAAGUUUAUUCUUAUUUAGUGCGGCCUGGUAAAACAUAAAGCAUGGUAUGCACCACGGGCAUUGUUAGACUGUAAUGCCCAUCAGGCGGAAACAUCCCAACUAGCAAAAUGGAAUUCUAAAAGAACCGAAUAAUUGUAUAACAAUCGAAUAGCAUUAUUUUAGGGACUGUUUGUUUUUAUUAAGCCUUUUGUUGCGAUAAUUUUGUUUUAUAAAUAAAAUUGUUGUAUUAAAUGGU